AUCUAAUCGAUGAGUCCCAAGUAGGACGAAACGCGCGUCCUGAAU
rfam:Schistosoma margrebowiei strain Zambia genome assembly, scaffold: SMRZ_contig0005314